UAGGGAAUCUUCGGCAAUGGGGGGAACCCUGACCGAGCAACGCCGCGUGAGUGAAGAAGGUUUUCGGAUCGUAAAGCUCUGUUGUUAAGGAAGAACGAGUGUGAGAAUGGAAAGUUCAUACUGUGACGGUACUUAACCAGAAAGGGACGGCUAACUACGUGCCAGCAGCCGCGGUAAUACGUAGGUCCCGAGCGUUGUCCGGAUUUAUUGGGCGUAAAGCGAGCGCAGGCGGUUAGAUAAGCCUGGAGUUAAAGGCGGUGGCUCAACCAUUGUAGGCUUGGGAAACUGUGUAACUUGAGUGCAGAAGGGGAGAGUGGAAAUCCAUGUGUAGCGGUGAAAUGCGUAGAUAUAUGGAGGAACACCGGUGGCGAAAGCGGCUCUCUGGUCUGUAACUGACGCUGAGGCUCGAAAGCGUGGGGAGCGAACAGG
rnacentral:rRNA from 1 species